UAAUACGAAAGGUGCAAGCGUUACUCGGAAUCACUGGGCGUAAAGCGCACGUAGGCGGACUUACAGGUCAAUUGUGAAAUACCUGGGCUCAACCCAGGAACUGCAGUUGAAACCGUCUGUCUUGAAUAUCUGAGAGGGUGGGGGAAUACCUGGUGGAGAAGUGAAAUUCGUAGAGAUCAGGUGGAACACCGGAGGCGAAGGCGCCUGCCUGGCAGAAUAUUGACGCUGAGGUGCGAAAGUGCGGGGAGCAAACAGGAUUAGAUACCCUGGUAGUCCGCACCGUAAACGAUGGAUACUAGGCGUUCGGAGAGUUAACCCUCUGAGUGCCAAAGUUCACACAUUAAGUAUCCCGCCUGGGAAGUACGGUCGCAAGACUA
rnacentral:rRNA from 1 species